ACAAAAUUAAACGUAAAUAUUGAAAAUUUAACGGUAUUGAAAUAUGGAAAAAUUACUGGUACUUCGCUCGAAAGGUAUGGUACGACCGUACUGCGACGAAUGUGAAUCCUUGGUGGACCUAAAAACUUUUUACACACCUUGCUAGAAUUUGGAUGCCGACGACUCACGAACAUCCUCGGAACCAAUCGUUGGAUAAAAAUGCAAUUGGGAAAACUUCAUGAAAAUAGUUUUUCCUCAUGAAAACGGUGAAAACAGCGGAACAAAAGCUGGCCACAUGUGUACAAGAAAACCGGCUUUUCAGGAAAACCGCGGGAAACUGAAUCAUGAUUUAUAUUAUAUUUUGCCACACCGGGCAUGCCCCUUCAUUUAACAGGGCAUCCCAAGUUUUAGGCAUUUGUGGUUUUUUAUUAUCCUAAGAAUAACCAGGGCUGAAAACAAUAAGGCCAGAGACUACAACAUAGUCAACAGAAAACUAGGCAUAACCUAUAAGAAAUCAAACCUUUCCAGGAUACUAUCAGACUAGAAACCUCUUUAAGUUGAUUUCUUUAUGAAUGUUUAUAAUUAUAAACCCCUCAUGACUCACAGGUAAAGCUUAAAAUGUAUCUUUUUGUUAUGUAAACUAUGCAUUUGUUAGAUCCAGGUUGGACUACAGCUCCCUCAUUUGGUCUCCCAUUUACAACCAGCACAUUCACCUAUUAGAAUCAGUCCAACGGCGAUUUCUUAAAUGUUUGGCAUUUAAGGAUGAUGGAGUUUAUCCUCCAAGGGGUUUUGACCAUAACCUGCUGCUCUCUAGAUAUACUGAACGGUUACUUGUGAAGAGGAGAGAAAUGCAUUUGGUGAAAUUCUUGUUUAAUUUACUUAACCAUAAAAUUGACUGCCCAUCCCUUUUGCAAAGGAUUUGCUUUCAUAUACCACGCCCAGGAUCCAGACAGUGUCCAGCUUUUAACUUGGACGCAGCCAGGUCCAACAUUCUGUACCAGAGUCCUAUUCACUUUAUGUGUCAAAACUUUAACACUAUUGCUGAUUCUUGUGACAUUCACCAUGACAAUUUGGCACUUAUUUUGAGUCACCUCUGGGUCGGUGGGGGAGGCUAGGUUAUUUAGUUUAUAGUUAUUUAGUUUUUAGUUUGAAUACAUUUAUUUACUCAUUUUUUUUCUGCUCUUUUGAUUUAAAUUAGUGUUGAUUUUUUAUAAUUUAUUUUCUCAAACUCACUACUUUUUUUUAUU